GACGAACGCUGGCGGCGUGCUUAACACAUGCAAGUCGAACGGAAAGGCCCCCUUGUGGGGUACUCGAGUGGCGAACGGGUGAGUAACACGUGAGUAACCUGCCCUUGACUUUGGGAUAACUUCAGGAAACUGGGGCUAAUACCGUAUAGGAGCUCCUGCUGCAUGGUGGGGGUUGGAAAGUUUCGGCGGUUGGGGAUGGACUCGCGGCUUAUCAGCUUGUUGGUGGGGUAGUGGCUCACCAAGGCUUUGACGGGUAGCCGGCCUGAGAGGGUGACCGGCCACAUUGGGACUGAGAUACGGCCCAGACUCCUACGGGAGGCAGCAGUGGGGAAUAUUGCACAAUGGGCGGAAGCCUGAUGCAGCAACGCCGCGUGCGGGAUGACGGCCUUCGGGUUGUAAACCGCUUUCGCAUGUGACGAAGCGUGAGUGACGGUAAUGGGUAAAGAAGCAGCGGCUAACUACGUG
rnacentral:rRNA from 1 species